AAGGCAACAUGUGCUGUCGUGGUUGAUUCGCAUGUGUAGCCGUUAUAUGAUUGUGAAUUGAAAUGUUAGUGUAAAAGUGUUCAUAGUACUUCAACAUAUAAACAUGCCACGUAGAUGCUGUAUGCCUACUUUCCACAAUUUUCCACCGUUUUACAAUUUAAGCACCAUUUUAUCACCUGUUUUUCUUGUUUCUUUUCUUCUUACGUUUUUAACGUCUGUAGGCUGCAGAGCAGCGUACGGCGGGGGGAUCGAAAUGCAGUAAAGGAAAAAAAGAAGACUUUAUGCAUGCUUGUAGAGGCUAUUAAACUGCUCGGGAAAGAGUCAGUACAUUCCAUUUCCCUCGUGAUGAAGAUGCAUGGAGAUAAUGGAUAAGAGCAGUUCACCGUGAUAAUUUCAUCCCUUCAGAUCACUCUGUGAUUUGUGAGCUGCAUUUCCAUGCACACGAAAUAGAAAGAAGUACAUCGUCAUAUGAUGCUAAGACUGGAAGAUUAAUUACACGCCUCUUGAUCGUCCACGUUUAAGGAAAGGUGCAAUACCAGCACUAUUGCCAGCAUGUCCUGAUUAUUUAUCUACACCAUAAGAAGGCAAUAUCUUUCUUUUCGUUGAAGGUAUUAUGUGAUAAAAUUAAUAGUAGUCAUUUGAAUGAGUGGACCUGUGUCAAAAAGUUGAAUGGUGUGUAUUUUCUUUUAAUUAGUGAAAUGCCAUUUUUGAGAGUUCUGUGGUAUGUUACAAUUAACGCAAGUCUCACUUUCACUGUCCAUGUCAAUGAUUAACAGCUUGGUCAAAUAGGGAACAUAAAGUUUCUAGUAACCAUAAGUACCAAAACACAGUUAGCUAAUAUUCUUAAUAUUGUCGAGUUAAAAUUUAGCAACAGAGAAGAUCAGGAACCUAAUGAGAGUAUUGAUUUCAUAACCACUAUUUUGAAUAAUUUAUCUGAAAACUUGCCAGAUAAACAUGAAAUUAUAAACGUUAUGGAAGAACAGAUUCCAUUGCUAAAAUGCAAGAAGAAAAUUGCAAGAUAUUCGUGGGAUAUUUUAGUUUUGUGGUCAUU